rnacentral:lncRNA from 1 species
UAAGUUGUUCGUCGAUCUCCAAGGGAGCUCCUCAGUUCCACCUCCGACCUCUUGUAUCAGGCGCCAGGUGAAAAUAGACAAACCUGAUAUAGAAGGUAGGCAAUUAUAUUAUGAACAGGACAUAAGAGAUUUUCUUAUGUAAAGAAAUUGACAUGUCUGUUUUAUCUUCUGAAAUUAUUACAACGUGAGGCUGAACUUUACCUGAAAAAUAAUACAACAUUGCAAAUCUUGUUGUUCUACCGCGUCUAGACUGAAUUUGUUCAUUAGAAUGUUCAGUUUCUCCGUAUAAUCUGGACCCUCAAUCAGACACUCACACACCAUUAUUCCUAGGUUUAUUAGCUGCCACUUAAACUCUGAAUCUCUUUUCUCAGAAAACCUAUAGUAGGCCAAUAGAACCAUGGUGUUAUCAUAAACUUGCACUUUCUGGAGUUAUACCAGAUAUUAGAUGGGCGAAAUAGUGCA